AAUAAGUACAGUUUUGCACUAUUCACAGUCAAUGUUUCACCAUUCGUCUUAUUUAAAAAUUUUUUUAUUAGUAUUUUCAUUGCUAUUAGAUGAUAAAACAUGAAUAGUAUAAAUAUUUUCAAAUUUUUCAAAUAAGACGGAUGGUCAAACGUUAGGUACGGAUAUCAAUGGCUGCACUUAUU
rfam:Oryza meridionalis cultivar OR44 (W2112) chromosome 2, whole genome shotgun sequence.